UUGAAUGAGGCCAGGAAUCGAACCCACAACUUCAUAGUUACUAGUCAUAUUCAUUUCCACUGUGCCACAAUGGGAGCUCCUCUACAUCUUUUCUUGGGUUUGUUCCUACUGCUCUUAAGGGCAUUAUAUUUCUGUUCAAUGGGCCUUCUUGAAAUUAUGUUUUGUUUCUCUUUUUUAUAAAGUUACAGUGUGUACUAUUGACUUCUGAGUAUGUAUCAUAUCAUGUUACCUUGAUUAAGCUUUCAUUAACACUAGAGAUUGUUAUUUUUAGCUGAAUGCCUUACAUUUUUAGGAGUAUAAUCACUUCAAAAUAAAAAAUUGUAUGUAUUACUUACUUUUAUUCUUAUUUCUUUGACAUGGCUUACUACAGUAAUAAUAAGUUCCAAAAUGCUACUAUAUAAAUGCAAUGAACACAGAUAUUUGUUACUGUUGUUCUUGAGUUUACAGGGACUUUCUCUAAGAUAUCUUCUAUUGACUAUAAUGAUGACAGGUUUAUGAUAAGGACUAUUAAUUAUAUAUAUAUAUUAAGGGAAAAACCUUCCAUUCCUUAUUUAAAAAUACCUUUAAAUGUUAAAUUUUAGCACAUGCCUUCCUGCAGCUAUUGUAUUGUCAACAUAAUUAUAGUAAUGAAUGCCCUUAAAUUUUAUCAUUCCUGCAUUCCUGAGAUAAGCCCUGAUUUACUGUAGUGGGUUAUUCUUGUAGUAAAUUGUUACAGUCCCUAUUUAGUAUCUUCUUUAAGGUGUCAGUUAAGAUGCAUUAUUGAUUUUAGGUCUUCUCGGCCAAGAAGCGGAGACCAUCCUGCUACUCCACAACUAAUCUUGAGUGGGAGGAAAUACAUAAGGAAAAAAAAUGCAUCGUGGCCUUAUUAAACAGCAAAAGACAAGGGAGUUGGGGACAACAUUUUUUCUUAUACAGACCUAAGAGGUUGGAGUUCUUAAAAUUUUAGUUAUUGACAUAACUACAGCUGGAAAAUAAAAGGUUUAGCUUAAAAAUAGGAAACAAGUAAAAAAUCAUUGAAAAUAGGUUUCUUCCCUUCUUCUUGCUGUCCCUACAACAACAAUCAAAAAGCAUUAAAUCCACUUUUAGGACCAUAACAGACUCCCCUCUGCAAUCCCAACAUUGGCCUGUCCAUGCAGUCUGGGUGGGGUGGGAAGCAAUAGUAAGAAAUCGUUUUGAACUUUAGAAUAUACAUUUUAAAACUACUAUCUCAAAACUAAGAUUCAUAAAAAUGACUUUAUUGAGAAAUUUCCCUAAAAGUGAAAAACUAAACAAUCUCAUCUCUUAAUUCACUACAGCCUUCUAUGCUUUCCUGUUAAUUGGUAGCAGUUUAUUGGAAACAGGAAUCGGGUGUUUUGGUUGUUUUGUUUUGUUUUUGUCUUCAUAUCCCCAGAGCUGAGGACACAUUAAGCAUUUUAUAACUAUUUGAAAAAAUUAAGACAAAAAUGCGGCUGUAAAAGGUGGCUACUGAAGAUUAACAAAAUGGAGCUUGAAACACAGUAUGGCAGCAAAUGAAGCAACUGGAGAACAAUUUUUUUGUGUGUCCUGUAAAAUGAAAUAAAAUGGGGAAAAUAUUAGAUUUUCUUGUGUGUGGUGUAACAUUAUGUUAACCAAGUAUAUUAGAUUUAGCCAGUGUUUGUGACCAUUUUCUUAUACUGAUAAUGCAGGAGUGUUUUGCUUUGUUUUAGAAUCCAAAUACAGUCCUUUUGGCAAUUGAAGUUGCACGGAUAAUGUUUCUUUUGUUGACGUAAACCAUGGGAACUUCAGUUGCAUGAUCUCAUUAACUGAUUACAGCUGUGACUUUGAAGUAAUCUCUCAGAAUGAGCACUUUUAGAAGAGUUGUUACUCACGGGCCAAGUCCAGGAUUGUGGAAGAAGAUUUGCAGAGGGCAUCAGGAAAGAUGGCUGAAUGUUUUCUCCAUUUUCUGAUGGCCAAAAGGAAUACAGGAACCACAGUACCUAGCACAGAACAGAAAUUCUGCUUCUUGCUGAAGAAUACAUUACCGGUGAUGAAAGACUUACUUCGCUCUUCCUUGAGUGAUGCACUGGGGAGAUUAUCUUGUAAACUGAGUGAAAGGGCUGCCAGACACCAUCUCCUAGAAAUGCCUGGAAGAGACAUGAGCUAAGAGGAAAAUAGCAAGUGUUGAAAGAGAGACCUGCCAGCCUGCAUCAAAUCAACACUCCCAACCUGGGCUCCUCACCUGACUUGACCUGCACAUUGGCUACUACUUCAGCUGGGCAAGGAUGGACUCCAGGCUCAAGGUGUCAACCUCUAGAUUGGAUUCACUUAUUUUUCCACAUCUCCACAUUCUCCUUGGACCAGUUGCUACACAGGAUAGGCUGUUCUCCUGGCAAUCAGAGGAAUGCAAGAGGCCAAACUUACCCAUGCAAUUUGGCGACCUAUAAUGGGACUAACUCAGAUAGCCCACUUGCUCUGGAGCUUGCAUAUGGGAUCCUGGAAAGCUGGCAGAAGCUGAAGAAGGGCAAGAUUUCUUACCAAAGUCACCCCUCCCAGAUCUCCCUGUAGUGCCUGGUGAAUAGAGGAAGGUAAAAAAUUUCACCUUGUCCUUUCUUUUCCAAGUUUAGAUUAGCAGGAUAAAAUAUUUGUGUGCAUUUGUUCCUUGGGUAUAGUGACUCUGGCAAAGACUUGAUAUGAGUACUCUUGUUUUCCUCUGAUCCUCUUCCUCUGAGAUGGCCAUUGUUUUCUGUUGUAUCUGUUUUUUGUGUCAUUUGUCAAAUGAGGAACCAGAUGUCUGAUGAGCUUUUCCUUUGUCUUGUUCUGUGUCUUAAAAGCUUGGCUUUGUGACUGGUGAAAAUAGUCUCACUGGUCUCUACCAGAUGAAAGAUGCUUGUGACAGCAUGCAUCUGGCAGACAAAUAGGCUGUGGGUUGGAGAAGCAGCAUUCUCUUUGUUUGGUUGUGCCAGCUCUCAGGAGAAUUUCUCAUUAGGGGUCCCAGCCUUUUGUUGUCUCAACCUUCAUUAUCUCAUCAGUGCUGGAAAAGUCCUAUUCCAUUGGCAUCUGCCUACUAUCAUACAUUAGUGGAGGUAUCUCACAUUCUCAUGGGAAACCAGACAAUAUUUACACGACAACAAAGGUCUUUGCUUUCUUAGGCUAACUCUGAGAAUGAACUUUCUGCAUGUUGUGAGAGUUGCAUCUUUUGCACUGUCUUCUGAGAUACAUCUUGCAUCAAUUCAGCCAAAAAAAAAUGGCUUAUUGGUUUGAGGUGCCAUUGAGAUGAAUAUCCUGCUCAACAAUGGCCAGAUGAUAGAUCCUUUGAAUUGGAAAAAUGUCUAUUUGAAAUAUUUUUAAAGAGUUCUCAUCCUAAGCACUUGUCUUAUUGGUACCUACAGAAAGAGCAAAUUGAAGAGGACACAAGGGAGUGUAACACUUAGCAUUAUUAGGAAUUCCCUUAACAAGAUGAAAUUACAAAGCCUCUUUGCCUUCAUUUUCAGAACGUACUACCAAAUUUAGAUAAGAGAAAAAUCAGUGGACAUUCACAACCCUACUCACAGGAACCUUGAUUGGCUGCUUAAGGAGUGUUCUUCCCACCCAUAAUUAAACAGUUACUAGACAAGCCAGGUGGCUCCCUGGAGAUUCCCCCUCCCUCAACAGAGGAAACAGAUAACCUGAAUUUUUCCCAGGCCAUCCUACAAAUGAUCAGGAAUGGCUCAGAUGGAGGCCAAUGUCCAGAAGAAGAAAAUAGUAGAGACUUUUCCCCUAAGCUGAAUUGGUCCUAGGUUGAAUUGUUUAUUCAGAAAAAAAAAAAAAGAUGAGUAUUUGAAGUCCUUCGCUGAGUGCUUUAUACAGAUUUUAGAAAGACAUGUAUUAAACCCCUGAAGCUCCACUUAAGAAACCUGCUCUUAAGAAGGAAAUAUUUACAUAGCAAUUACCCUAGACCUCUAAUAAUGGGCAAAUAUAACCCCAAACUCCUAGGAGACAACUUGGCAACUUUGUGCUUUUGAGAUAUAAAUUUUCCAGGCCAUCCUCUCUAGGACCUAAGAGCUAUUCAUUGAAAUGCAGAGGAGGUAUUUUGAAAUUUGGCAAAUGAAAAAUCUUAACUGUCUUAUCCACAUCUAUUAGUAAAACUUUUUAGCCAUCUCAGUGGGUAAACUUAUUCCAGCUGCCAGAAACACAGUUUAGACCUACUGUUCUUUUACAAUAAGUGAGUUUCGUAUUAUUGUACAUGACUCAUGGCUAAAAUUUUAGAAUGGUAAGUGUAAAGUCUCUGCAUCUGUAUUUGUUUUUAUUUAUGUUGUAGAUGUGUGAUGUUUUUCUGCCUUCUGAUGCUAUUGCAAAAAUUAAUUUAUAAGAGAUCUAGUUAAUUGGUUAAAGUAGAAAAAAAGUGCUUAUCUGAAUUAAAUAUUCCUAAACUCUCAGAAUAUAGAAACUAACCCAAAUGUUUUUUCAAGUUAAUGCAAUCUGAGAUAAGCUUUUUGAUAAACAAGGCUCAAGUUUGUUGUUUUAAUUAUAGGUAUGUCUUCAGAGUUACCAGCAUUAAAUAUAAUGCAGACAUACAGUUUUUCGCCUGACUUUGCUAGUCAUAAGUUAUCUCUGCUACAAAAUCUGUCAGCAGAAGAAAAAUAACUUAAGAUGAUGGCUAGCUAUUUAAUGUCUUAUGAAAUUUUUGAGUAAACAUUUUAGGAACAAAGUGAUUUAGAUACAUCUAAGUGAGAUAAGAGAUUUUUGAUUCUCAGCAAUAAAUAUGGUAUAGCUACUUUCAAAGUUUCUCAAAUCUUUUUGGUAACUUCCACAUUUAGAGUUUUGCUGAUUUAAGUUAAAUGGUGGAAACUCAUUGAAUAUCUACAUCAUUUCCAAAAAAAAUAAAAUACUAAACAUCACUGAACAUAGGUUUACCUAUUUUGGCUUCUUAAUAGAGGAACUAAAGAUAUUGGUCUGUUCUUGUGCCAUCUUGAAAAAUUGCACUAUUAAAAAAGAGUAUGUUGCUAAAGAUUAUGAAAUGUAUUCGUAAAUUUGCCAAUCUAAAGAAUGCUGGUAUACCAGUUCACAAUUGCGUUCUUCUUGCUUUUCACUGGAAAUUAAGGUUUCUAAGAAUUCUAAUUAAUACAUAAUUAAAAUUACUAGAAAUAAUAAGGGAAACAAUGUUGUAUGCGAGGAAAGUAGUAUUGAUUUGGGCUAAGAAAAGGUAUAAGGUAUGGAGAUGCAUUUGUUAAGGCAAAUGAAAGUAAUUUUUAUCCUCAAGCUAGUUGUUUCAGAAUGGGAAAGAGGAGGAGAAUAAAGAACAAACCAAAUGCAUGUGGGCACUUGAAAGGAAAUAAUUUUACCUUGUGUCAUCAAGCUGGAUCACAAUGAAUUGUUACUAUAAGGGUUUUAAAAGUUGGAGUUCCCAUCAUGGCGCAGUGAAUACAAAUCCAACUAGGAACCAUAAGGU